GGGAGUUUAGCUCAGUUGGUUUAGAGCAUCUGCCUUACAAGCAGAGGGUCGGGGGUUCGAGCCCCUCAACUCCCACAA
rnacentral:tRNA from 1 species